rnacentral:rRNA from 1 species
UACGUAGGAGGCGAGCGUUGUCCGGAGUUACUGGGCGUAAAGCGCAUGCAGGCGGUCAACUCAGUCUGUGCUGACAGUUCCCGGCUUAACUGGGAAAGUGGUACGGAUACUGGUUGACUUGAGGGCUUCAGAGGGAUGUGGAACUCCUGGUGUAGCGGUGAAAUGCGCAGAUAUCAGGAGGAACACCGGUGGCGAAGGCGGCCCGCUGGGCAGUGGCUGACGCUGAGGCGCGACAGCGUGGGGAGCAAACAGG